rnacentral:rRNA from 1 species
UACGGAGGGUGCAAGCGUUGCUCGGAAUCACUGGGCUUAAAGGGCGCGUAGGCGGACGACCAAGUCAGGGGUGAAAGCCCCCAGCUCAACUGGGGAAGUGCCUUUGAUACUGGUCGUCUCGAGGGAGGUAGGGGCGUGCGGAACUUCCGGUGGAGCGGUGAAAUGCGUAGAUAUCGGAAGGAACGCCGGUGGCGAAAGCGGCGCGCUGGACCUCUUCUGACGCUGAGGCGCGAAAGCUAGGGGAGCAAACGGGG